rnacentral:rRNA from 1 species
CAGUCGCCACGGUAAUACGUAGGUGGCAAGCGUUGUCCGGAAUUAUUGGGCGUAAAGGGCUCGCAGGCGGUUUCUUAAGUCUGAUGUGAAAGCCUCCGGCUCAACCGGGGAGGGUCAUUGGAAACUGGGAAACUUGAGUGCAGAAGAGAAGAGUGGAAUUCCACGUGUAGCGGUGAAAUGCGUAGAGAUGUGGAGGAACACCAGUGGCGAAGGCGACUCUCUGGUCUGUAACUGACGCUGAGGAGCGAAAGCGUGGGGAGCGAACAGGAUUAGAUACCCCGGUAGUCCCUGUCUCUUAUAC